AUGCAGUCGAGCGAACAAAACGGGAGGGAGUCUUCGGACAAAGCCCCGUUGCGUGAGCGGCGGACGGGUGAGUAACACGUGGGCAACCUGCCCUAUGCACAGGGAUAACGCACCGAAAGGUGUGCUAAUACCGGAUAAAGCGAGAUGUCCGCAUGGACGAUUCGCCAAAGCUUUUGCGGCAUAGGAUGGGCCCGCGUCCCAUUAGCCAGUUGGUGAGGUAACGGCUCACCAAGGCUGCGAUGGGUAGCCGACCUGAGAGGGUGAUCGGCCACACUGGAACUGAGACACGGUCCAGACUCCUACGGGAGGCAGCAGUGGGGAAUAUUGCACAAUGGGCGAAAGCCUGAUGCAGCAACGCCGCGUGAGCGAUGAAGGCCUUCGGGUCGUAAAGCUCUGUCCCAAGGGAAGAUAAUGACGGUACCUUGGGAGGAAGCCCCGGCUAACUACGUGCCAGCAGCCGCGGUAAUACGUAGGGGGCAAGCGUUAUCCGGAAUCACUGGGCGUAAAGGGUGCGUAGGCGGUCUUGCAAGCCAGGGGUGAAAGGCUAUGGCUCAACCAUAGUGAGCCUUUGGAACUGCCGGACUUGAGUACAGGAGAGGAAAGUGGAAUUCCUAGUGUAGCGGUGAAAUGCGUAGAUAUUAGGAGGAACACCAGUGGCGAAGGCGACUUUCUGGACUGUUACUGACGCUGAGGCACGAAAGCGUGGGGGAGCGAACAGGAUUAGAUACCCUGGUAGUCCACGCCGUAAACGAUGAGUGCUAGGUGUCGGGGGUCAAACCUCGGNUGCCGCCAGCUAACGCAUUAAG
rnacentral:rRNA from 1 species